UGGUAUUAAUAAUCACAUGAACUAUUAUUAUUUUUUUUCCUAAUUUAUCCUCAGAGUCUCUCCUCUCUCUCUCCCUCCCUCCCUCCUCGUCUCCACUCUCUCCCCUCUUUCUCCCCUUUUCUCUAUCUUUUCUCCGUGAGAACAAACCCACAUUCCUUUCCUUUUCUCCCAUCUUUCUCCCAUCAAAACCGACGAAAUCUCUUUGUUGCUGGCGAACGAUUGUAACAACGAAGAAGAAAGUAUUAACUCGUGGGUCACGGUGGAAGAAAAAGUGGCCAUGUUUCUUUCAAUAUUAGCACACCACAAAAAAAUAGAAUAGUAAAGCACGACUUCAUAAGAUCUGGGCAAGCGGUUAGCCAUUAUUUCCAUGUUGUGCUUAAUGCGUUCUGAAGCUCCAUCGAAUUCUUGUUCUUGAACUUGAUCCUGUCGCGGAUGACUGCACUACCAAUACAUGAAAGUUUUUUAAGGGUUGUUUAGGCGCAUUAAACGGUACCUAUAUCAAUGUGUUGGUACGUCAAAUUGACAAAGCAAGGUAUUGGACAAGGAAAUAUGAAGUGGCGAUGAAUGUGCUAGGAGUGUUUGACCGAAAUAUGAAAUUUACUUAUGUUUUGACUGAGUAGGAAGGAUCAACAGCUGAUCCUAGAGUUUUACGAGAUGCUGUCAUUAGGAAGCCAGGGUUAAAAGUGCCUAAGGGUAUUGUCAUCUUACACUUUUUACACUUGUCCCGACAUAGAUUACACUUAUGAAUUAAAUAGUUUUUGCCUUGUUCUUAUCUAAUAGGCAAUUACUACCUUUAUGAUAAUUGAUGCACGAAUGCCGAAGGGUUUUUAACUCCAUACAAAGGUGCCAGAUAUCAUUUGGAUGAAUGGAGUGAUGGUCGUCACGCGCCGUAGAAUUAUCAAGAGAUCUUUAAUAUGAUCCAUGCUAGAGUAGAGCACAAAAUGUUAUAGCGAUUGAAAAUUUUACAAAGCAAAAUGUAUUAUCCUAUUACUAUUCAAAACAACAUAAUUUUGGCAUGUUGUCUUAUUUAUAAUUUUAUAACGUUAGAGAUGGAUAUUGAUCCUAUUGAACACCUUCUUGAUGUUGAGAACUUGGAGUUACACCAUGAAGAUG